rnacentral:pre_miRNA from 14 species
AUUUAAAAACCCUAUAUUGUAAUAUUAAAUUGGUAGAGUUACUAUUGAAAGACCCCUGGAGUGGGGAGACCCCCACUCAAGACUCAGGAUGACACGACCCCCCAAGAACUCACGAGAAAUC